rnacentral:lncRNA from 1 species
CAUCAGAUCAAAUGGCCAGGAUUAGUUUUCCCUUUUAAUAUAUAAACCUAAAACUCUUACCCCACCCCCCAAACCAAAAACCCCAUCCCGUCUCCUUCAUUUUCAUCAUCUCUGUAACUCAGAGACGACAUCCUCAAUCCCUAGCCGCCAUGGCUCCCCUACACCAGAAACCCGGCGGCCCGAACUCCGAUAGCCACCAAAUUUACACCCCUGAGCCUCCUGACCACCCUCAUCACGACUCCAGGAUCCGUUUGCUUCGAAUCUCAACGGUACGUCUCGAAUCUUCGAUCAAAGACCAGCCCCAAAAACCUAGUUGGUCUGUUUGACCUUAAAUGUACACCCAAUAAUCCCCUUGACCUCCUCGUCCCUAAUGCAUAACCAAUUUGGUUUAAAUCCGAGUUAUACUCGCCGAAUGAUAAAUCUAGGGUUCAGCGGUUCUAGGCUGAUUCAAAAUUGUUAAGGACAAAUUGGUUUCUAGUUAAUAUUAUAAGCCUGUUUCUGACGAAAUAGGCGUAUAAUAAUAACUUGAAAUAAAUUUCGAAGAACAUGUUGAUUGGAAUCCGAAAUCAGUAAGUUUUCUUAAACUUUUCUUUUCCUUUUCUGUAUGUUUGCUUGUCUAUGUUUCGUUGUAGGUUUUUGAAUUAAUUCUGUUGUAAUCAUCAUUUCUGAUUAAGUAAUUCUUUCCCCCUCUGUUGAACCUUUUUUUCCGGUUCAGUUUUCUCCUAAUUAAUCAACAUAGGUUAUAAACUGUUGAUGCGAUUCAAUAAAUUUCAUUCCUUAGUCCAGUUCUGAUAGUUAAUUCAUGUUCGUGCUAAAUGUUAGUUUGGUUUAACUCUGAAUUCAUUUUUCUGAAUUGGUUGAUUGAAUUGAAAUAGCUAGUGCCCAGUCUUGUAUAAAACUGUAUCUAUUUCCAUAAUUGUUUGGAUUGCUAUUUGUUCAAAUGGUAUCAGUUGUGCUGUCUAUCAUUUUGUUGCAUAUGAGUUCAGUAGGUUGUACAUGUUCUUUCAUUUCUGUAUGAGUUCCAUAUUGAUUUUGUUCUGGAUCGUUGAUUUUGUUUUGAUAUCAUUUUUGUCUAAUCUGAAUGGUUGUUUGAAUAUGUGUGGUUGAGUUGAAUCUUGAUUAAAUUUAGUUUUUGAGAUGCUUGUUAGGAGUCAGUCCGUAUGGAUAAAUGCUGAUUAAUUAAGUGAGCUUGGUUAUAGCUGUUUUAAUUAGCAGGUAAUCAGAUUUAGAUAUGCCCAGCUUUGAGCAAAUCCUGAAUAAAGAGCAUUAACAGUAGGUUUCAGGGUUAUUUUAGGAAUAGCAAAAUAGAAAUCCGGAUUUGACUGAGUAUUAUGACCAGUAGGACCCCAAUGUGCUUUAACUUGAAUAAAUUAGUAGUAGGGGUCCACUAGGUAAUGAGAAUGUUUGACUGCUUUUGGUUGAUUGAUAAUUAGGAAUAGUAGCGUAAUAAUAAAAGUGUAAAAAGAAGAAUAGAAGAGCAUAUUUGGGAGGGGGGCUGUUAUUAAAGUAAAGAUUAAGUGGGGGAGUAAUAAUGAAAGUGUUGUAAAAAUAAUUAAAAGGGAAAAGGGGAGAGGUCUUGUGGGAUCGAUAAAUAAGAGGCAUUUGGUUGAUGGAGGGAUCAGAUUUUAGAGAACAAAAAACUUGAGAAAAGAGAGUUAAGUUAAAACUAUUAGCUUUCUAAUACAAAGAGUUCAGUGAGUCUAGAGUGGAAAUAGACUAACUUUCAAUCUGAAAGAGUGAGUAAUUUGAGAAUUCAGAAAUUAAAGUUAGCCCCUUUUGUCAUCAAAAAAUCAUUUUUAGUUCGUGAUUUGAAGCUACAAGCUUCUGUUUGGAGUGUGUAUUAUUUUUUUUGGAAGUUCUUGUUCAAUUCCAAGCUUGAUUGAGAUUAUUUAGCUGCCUGCGUUUGAACAUUUUGGUUUGGCCAUCUCGAAUUUGGUUGUUCCCGGAUUUUACUGGUUUUCAAUCUAUUCUGAAUUGAGCGCGGCACUGCUGGUUGCUUUCUGCCUAUCGUUGUUGUUGAUGUGUUGUUGUUACUGCACCUACUGAUCCUUUUCUUCUCUCUUCCAUUUUUCUGUUUCCAGGUACAUAUUCUACAACCUUCAAGCUAUGGAAAUAAAGUGAUAAUAUUACCCGAAGUAGACUUGAAAAUUUUUGUUAUCUUUUAUUUAAUUUCGAGGUGUAAACCAAUAGCCUAUUUGAUAUUACAUGUUGUAUACCGGAAUGAUUCUAAAUGUAAUGGACCUUCAAUAUAAGGUUAUUCACUUAGCUUGUGAAGCUCUUAGGAAUGUGGAAAUGUGAGUAUGUGAGUUUUUUCCUCUUGAAUAUUAUUGGUAAUGACCCAUAUUAAGUUAGUCAAUAGUUUCUGUUAGUCGAAUGAUUUACGUGUUUUCUUGAAUCUAUCCAAAUGCCUAAAACUAGAAUCAUAGUUAACCCUGCUUAUGUACCUUAAAAUAAUUCGUUUGCAGCCAUGUGAUUUCUAAGGUUCAAAAACAAUAAAUGGC